rnacentral:ribozyme from 1 species
AUUGAUCCACAAAGUGCACAAAAAGAACGAACAAAGAGAUAAUAAUAGAAGCGCACAUUCGUUCGUGCAGUCAUUGUCUUUGUCACCCAGUCGAUUCCGAAUUUCUUUCUUUCUUUCUUUCCGUCUUUCUUUCUUC